rnacentral:rRNA from 1 species
GAUGAACGCUGGCGGCGUGCCUAAUACAUGCAAGUCGAGCGAACAGACAAGGAGCUUGCUCCUUUGACGUUAGCGGCGGACGGGUGAGUAACACGUGGGUAACCUACCUAUAAGACUGGGAUAACUUCGGGAAACCGGAGCUAAUACCGGAUAAUAUUUCGAACCGCAUGGUUCGAUAGUGAAAGAUGGUUUUGCUAUCACUUAUAGAUGGACCCGCGCCGUAUUAGCUAGUUGGUAAGGUAACGGCUUACCAAGGCGACGAUACGUAGCCGACCUGAGAGGGUGAUCGGCCACACUGGAACUGAGACACGGUCCAGACUCCUACGGGAGGCAGCAGUAGGGAAUCUUCCGCAAUGGGCGAAAGCCUGACGGAGCAACGCCGCGUGGGUGAUGAAGGUCUUCGGAUCGUAAAACUCUGUUAUUAGGGAAGAACAUACGUGUAAGUAACUAUGCACGUCUUGACGGUACCUAAUCAGAAAGCCACGGCUAACUACGUGCCAGCAGCCGCGGUAAUACGUAGGUGGCAAGCGUUAUCCGGAAUUAUUGGGCGUAAAGCGCGCGUAGGCGGUUUUUUAAGUCUGAUGUGAAAGCCCACGGCUCAACCGUGGAGGGUCAUUGGAAACUGUAAAACUUGAGUGCAGAAGAGGAAAGUGGAAUUCCAUGUGUAGCGGUGAAAUGCGCAGAGAUAUGGAGGAACACCAGUGGCGAAGGCGACUUUCUGGUCUGUAACUGACGCUGAUGUGCGAAAGCGUGGGGAUCAAACAGGAUUAGAUACCCUGGUAGUCCACGCCGUAAACGAUGAGUGCUAAGUGUUAGGGGGUUUCCGCCCCUUAGUGCUGCAGCUAACGCAUUAAGCACUCCGCCUGGGGAGUACGACCGCAAGGUUGAAACUCAAAGGAAUUGACGGGGACCCGCACAAGCGGUGGAGCAUGUGGUUUAAUUCGAAGCAACGCGAAGAACCUUACCAAAUCUUGACAUCCUUUGACAACUCUAGAGAUAGAGCCUUCCCCUUCGGGGGACAAAGUGACAGGUGGUGCAUGGUUGUCGUCAGCUCGUGUCGUGAGAUGUUGGGUUAAGUCCCGCAACGAGCGCAACCCUUAAGCUUAGUUGCCAUCAUUAAGUUGGGCACUCUAAGUUGACUGCCGGUGACAAACCGGAGGAAGGUGGGGAUGACGUCAAAUCAUCAUGCCCCUUAUGAUUUGGGCUACACACGUGCUACAAUGGACAAUACAAAGGGCAGCGAAACCGCGAGGUCAAGCAAAUCCCAUAAAGUUGUUCUCAGUUCGGAUUGUAGUCUGCAACUCGACUACAUGAAGCUGGAAUCGCUAGUAAUCGUAGAUCAGCAUGCUACGGUGAAUACGUUCCCGGGUCU